UAUUCGGCAAUUAAGGAUUGUUUCAUUCUCUAUUUGGAUUGAACUUCUAGUUUGUAGAUAUAUAUUCAAAUACAUAAAAAAUCAUUCUGGAAGUAAAUGUCAGUUAAAUACAUAAAGUGUGUUCAACAUCAUAGCCACCCCGUGCUGAGUUACGACUGGAAUAUUGCUGAAGAAGAUAACAACAUAUUCAGUCAGGUGACGCCGACAGCUGUCUCUAUUCACUGCCGCGUCCUUGUACACUGAAUGACGCCCACUGAAUGCACGACUGCUGAAGUGUGGCGACAGCGUUAUUCAACUCAGGUGUACACAACUGGGCAUUAGCUGGUCGCUAUCAAGGCUGACGCAACAGACAGCAACAACUUUGACAGGGGCCCCAAGUUAUACUCCAUGUUUUCAGAUAGAUGACAUUCACCCAGUUUGACUGAUAGUUGUAUUUAAUUGAAAGGUUUAUGACGUGUUAUGGGUGCGACACAAUCACUCAGCCUGUCGACAUUGGCAGCUACGUGGGGAAGAACUACACUUCAAAGGCAGGUCAUAUUACGUGACGCACCAUGUGGUGCACUUAAUGUUUUCUCCGUCUGUUGGAGUUGAACAACAUGUCUGUGUGACGAUCAAAUCAUCAUCACAUUGAUGCAGCAUCCGACAUAGACGUUACAAGAGGAGGAACGUCCUUGCUGGGCAGCGGGUGCAUCAACAGUCGCGUUCAGAGUGUCAAAUACCUGCUCGCUGACAACAAAGAGAUAAAUCACAAUGUGUCGGCGGAGGAGACAGUCCAGAAGAGACGCAGGAUGAUGGUAUUUGUCUCCUAGAAACGGGUGGAACGGGUCGAAUAUCUGUAUAACAAAACAGUCCCCCGAUUAUCUGUA